rnacentral:rRNA from 1 species
GCUUACGGCCACACCGGCCUGAGUACGCUGGAUCUCGCGAUCUCGGAAGCUAAGCAGGGUCGGGCCUGGUAGUACUUGGAUGGGAGACCGCCUGGGAAUACCAGGUGCUGUAAGCU